rnacentral:rRNA from 1 species
GACGAACGCUGGCGGCGUGCUUAACACAUGCAAGUCGAGCGGACAGGCCCUUUCGUGGGUACUCGAGCGGCGAACGGGUGCGUAACACGUAAGUAAUCUGCCCUUCCCUUUGGGAUAAGCUCCGGAAACGGUGGCUAAUACCCGAUACGACCAUUCCUCGCAUGAGGUGGUGGUGGAAAGUUGUUCUGUGGGGGCUGUGCUCGCUGGCUAGGAGCUUGUUGGUGGGGUAAUGUCCUACCACGGCUGCGACGGGUAGCCGGCCUGCGAGGGUGACCGGCCACCCGGCGACUGCGGGAGGGAGCAGAAGGCUACGUUAGGCAGCAGUCGGGAAUAUUGCGCAGUGGCCCGGAGCCUGAGCCAGCAACCUCGCGUGAGUAAUGACGGCUUUUGAGUUGUAAACAUCUGUCUACUGUGACGAAGCGAACGUGACGGUAGCAAGAGAAGAAGCAACGGCUAACUACGUG